CUGGUAGGGGAGCGUUCCAUACUGGGCUGAAGCUCGACCGUAAGGACGGGUGGACUGUAUGGAAGUGAGUAUGGCGGCAUGAGUAACGAUAAAACAGGUGAGAAACCUGUUCGCCGAAAAUCCAAGGGUUCCUGAGGAAGGGUAAUCCUCUCAGGGUGAGUCGGUCCCUAAGGCGAGGCCGAAAGGCGUAGCUGAUGGGAAACGGGUUAAUAUUCCCGUACCACUUGAAUUGCGUUAUCAGCGAUGGGGUAACGUAGGAGGGUAGUCUAUCCGGGUGUUGGAUGUCCCGGUUCAAGCAAGUAGGAGGGUGGUCUUGGCAAAUCCGGACCACCAUUCAACUCCGAGAUGUGAUGGGGAGCUUCUCCUUCGGGACAAGCGAACUAGAUGAUCCCAUACUACCGAGAAAAACCUCUAGUGAGUGAUUCAGGUGCCCGUACCCUAAACCAACACAGGUGGAUAAGGAGAGAAUCCUAAGGCGCUUGAGAAAACUCUGGUUAAGGAACUCGGCAAAUUAACUCCGUAACUUCGGGAUAAGGAGUGCCCUCAUUAGGUGAAAGAACUUGCUUCUGGAGCCGAGGAGGGUUGCAGUGACCAGGUAGCCGCGACUGUUUACUAAAAACACAGGACUCUGCUAAGUCGUAAGACGACGUAUAGGGUCUGACGCCUGCCCGGUGCCGGAAGGUUAAAAGGAGGGGUUAGCCCUCGGGCGAAGCUCCGAAUUGAAGCCCCGGUAAACGGCGGCCGUAACUAUAACGGUCCUAAGGUAGCGAAAUUCCUUGUCGGGUAAGUUCCGACCUGCACGAAUGGCGUAACGAUGGCUACACUGUCUCAACCAGAGACUCAGUGAAAUUGACAUACCGGUGAAGAUGCCGGUUUCCCGCGAAAGGACGGAAAGACCCCGUGCACCUUUACUACAGCUUGAUAUUGGAUAUUGGUUUAGUAUGUGUAGGAUAGGUGGGAGACUUUGAAACUCUGGCGCUAGCCAGGGUGGAGUCAAUCUUGAAAUACCACCCUUAUUACACUGAUAUUCUAACCUCGGUUCCAUGAAUCUGGGCCAGGGACAAUGUCAGGUGGGUAGUUUGACUGGGGCGGUCGCCUCCUAAAAUGUAACGGAGGCGCGCGAAGGUUCUCUCAGGCUGAUUGGAAACCAGCCUUCGAGUGCAAAGGCAUAAGAGAGCUUGACUGCGAGACUUACAAGUCGAGCAGGUGCGAAAGCAGGUCUUAGUGAUCCGGUGGUUCCAUGUGGAAGGGCCAUCGCUCAACGGAUAU
rnacentral:rRNA from 1 species